rnacentral:rRNA from 1 species
CCUACGGGGGGCAGCAGUGGGGAAUAUUGGACAAUGGGGGAAACCCUUAUCCAGCGACGCCGCGUGAGGGAAGAAGGUUUUCGGAUUGUAAACCUCUGUCAGUGGGGACGAUAAUGACGGUACUCACGGAGGAAGCCACGGCUAACUACGUGCCAGCAGCCUCGGUAAUACGUAGGUGGCAAGCGUUUGCCGGAAUUACUGGGUGUAAAGGGAGCGUAGGCGGGAUGUCAAGUCAGAAGUGAAAAUUAUGGGCUCAACUCAUAACCUGCUUUUGAAACUGAUGUUCUUGAGUGGGCGAGAAGUAUGCGGAAUGCGUGGUGUAGCGGUGAAAUGCAUAGAUAUCACGCAGAACUCCGAUUGCGAAGGCAGCAUACCGGCGCCCAACUGACGCUGAAGCACGAAAGCGUGGGUAUCGAACAGGAUUAGAUACCCGAGUAGUC